rnacentral:sRNA from 1 species
UUGAAGGCGUGGAGACUGAAGUCCUCUGUGUCCACAGACCAGGUAUGGCACAGGCAGCGGCAGUGCAGCGUCCACUGCCACCACGUGCCUCACCUUGCCACGGGGCCGUGUCAGGGAGAGGGCUGUCAGUCUCCAUGCCCUUCAAUCCUCGGCUGCC